UACGGAGGGUGCGAGCGUUGUUCGGAAUCACUGGGCGUAAAGGGCGCGCAGGCGGUUUGUCAAGUCAGAUGUGAAAGGCCACGGCUCAACCGUGGAGGUGCAUCUGAAACUGGCAGACUUGAGUACCGGAGGGGAAAGUGGAAUUCCCGGUGUAGAGGUGAAAUUCGUAGAUAUCGGGAGGAACACCGGAGGCGAAGGCGACUUUCUGGACGGAUACUGACGCUGAGGCGCGAAAGCGUGGGGAGCAAACAGGAUUAGAUACCCUAGUAGUCC
rnacentral:rRNA from 1 species